GUCCUGCGCUGGCUACGCAGUUCUGGAGUACAGGGAUUGCUGCUAACAACUCUGCCUCUCUAACGGGGAAGCCGCCACUCCCAUACUCGCUCGAUGCUAGUUUCGACUCUCAACUGAAAGACUCUGAACUAAUUCUUAGCUGAAUUAAAACUGAGUUAAAUCUGUUAUUAUUCAUAUUUCUUGACAUAUCUGAUUGGGCUCACUUGGUUCUAUUAUCUGACGGAAUACUACUAAAUCUAAUAUCUGACAGAAUGAUACUAAGUUUUGAAUUCUGUAACUAACUAAGUUCUACUGAUCAAAGCAUGACUGAAAUUAUCUUGAAACUGACUCGGCUCUAGGCACACAACUAUAUUUUUCAGGUACAAGUAACCCCAGGACUCGAUAGAAGAAAACUGACAAAACAUAACUUCUUGAAUUCACGACUAACAUCAACAUCAUAACAUGUAUUCAAGUAUACAUAAUUGAGAAUUUCAUACUAACAUAUAAUAAUUCAUUCAACAAGGGAUGCACAAG
rnacentral:lncRNA from 1 species